rnacentral:tRNA from 1 species
UGUUAUGGGAAUCGAACCCACAGUGUUCCGCUUAUCGGGCAGAUGCCAUGUCCACUAGGCUAC